CAUAUAAAGCCAAGAAAAGCACCUGACACAGAUACUUUGCAACCUACCAAGUAUCAUCACAAGAGCUAUGAAAGUGAAGAGAGACAUACGUUAUCUAAGAAUCUCAGAGAGAUGACUCAGUCAGCAUCCUCUCUUGGUGUACAAUGGUAGGGACAGCUACUGUGUCAUCUGGAGCAUGACAAUGAGAACACAGACACUGGAUCGUCCUGAUAUAGCCUGCAGUCCAUCUGGGCCUCUAGACAUUCAUUUGCAUUUGCAUUCAUGCGCAUCCCCUACUACUCCAACUCCUACACCUUUUGGCAGGAUAUAUCCACACAGCUGGAUUGGAAUCACAAGAUGUUUUUAUUUUUUG
rnacentral:lncRNA from 1 species